rnacentral:rRNA from 1 species
UACAGAGGUCUCAAGCGUUUGUUCGGAUUCAUUGGGCGUAAAGGGUGCGUAGGCGGCGCGGUAAGUCGGGUGUGAAAUCUCGGAGCUUAACUCCGAAACUGCAUUCGAUACUGCCGUGCUUGAGGACUGGAGAGGAGACUGGAAUUUACGGUGUAGCGGUGAAAUGCGUAGAUAUCGUAAGGAAGACCAGUGGCGAAGGCGGGUCUCUGGACAGUUCCUGACACUGAGGCACGAAGGUCAGGGGAGCAAACGGG